GUAAGGCCCCAGCUUGCUGGGGUACACGAGUGGCGAACGGGUGAGUAACACGUGGGUGACCUGCCCCGCACUUCGGGAUAAGCCUGGGAAACUGGGUCUAAUACCGGAUAGGACCGCACCGUGAGGGUGUGGUGGAAAGUUUUUCGGUGUGGGAUGGGCCCGCGGCCUAUCAGCUUGUUGGUGGGGUAAUGGCCUACCAAGGCGGCGACGGGUAGCCGGCCUGAGAGGGUGGACGGCCACAUUGGGACUGAGACACGGCCCAGACUCCUACGGGAGGCAGCAGUGGGGAAUAUUGCACAAUGGGCGGAAGCCUGAUGCAGCGACGCCGCGUGGGGGAUGACGGCCUUCGGGUUGUAAACUCCUUUCACCAUCGACGAAGGUUUUCUGACGGUAGAUGGAGAAGAAGCACCGGCUAACUACGUGCCAGCAGCCGCGGUAAUACGUAGGGUGCGAGCGUUGUCCGGAAUUACUGGGCGUAAAGAGCUCGUAGGUGGUUUGUCGCGUCGUCUGUGAAAUUCCGGGGCUUAACUCCGGGCGUGCAGGCGAUACGGGCAUAACUUGAGUACUGUAGGGGAGACUGGAAUUCCUGGUGUAGCGGUGAAAUGCGCAGAUAUCAGGAGGAACACCGGUGGCGAAGGCGGGUCUCUGGGCAGUAACUGACGCUGAGGAGCGAAAGCAUGGGUAGCGAACAGGAUUAGAUACCCUGGUAGUCCAUGCCGUAAACGGUGGGCGCUAGGUGUAGGGGUCUUCCACGACUUCUGUGCCGUA
rnacentral:rRNA from 1 species